GCAGUCGAGAAUACUCCACAAUGUGCGAAAGCAUGAUGGGGGGAGUCUGAGUGGCACGUUUUUAACGUGUCUUUUGCCAAGUCUAGUAAGCUUGGCGAAUAAGUGCUGGGUAAGACCGGUGGCAGCCGCCACGGUAAUACCGGCGGCACAAGUGGUGUCCACUAUUAUUGGGCUUAAAGCGUCCGUAGCUGGCCGGAACCGUCUUAUGUGAAAUAUGCUUGCUCAACAAGCAUGCGUGCAUAAGAUACCUUCCGGCUAGGGAGCGGGAGAGGUCAAGAGUACUUAUGGGGUAGGGGUUAAAUCCUGUAAUCCUGUAAGGACUACCUGUGGCGAAGGCGCUUGACCAGAACGCAUCCGACAGUGAGUGACGAAGGCUAGGAGAACGAAUCGGAUUAGAUACCCCCGUAGUCC
rnacentral:rRNA from 1 species